AUGCUUAAACCUACUUUAGAUGUUGACUUGCUGAGUCUCUACCAGGCCCUGGCUCCCAAUCUCACAGUCACUCGUAGAACAGAUGCUUCCCGAUGUAUGCCUGCAUUCCUCAUAGCGUCCAAACGUACAAUCACCUGCAGAAACCUGGCUUUGGCUGCUGACCAUCCUGGGUUCAAAUCAGAGCUUCUCUGCCUUUGCUGAAGUCUUCUUAGAGUCUUUCCUGAAGUCUAAGUGUGAUGAGAGCAGAGGUACCUCCGUUUCAUCACUGCAUCCUGGGCACCUAGUGGACCUGGCAAGGUGCAGCCCUAUGAGGUGAGUCACG
rnacentral:lncRNA from 1 species